CAUGAACCAGAACACUUUUAUAGCUAGGAGGAGUUUUAGGGAUUUUCUAGUCAUUUCUCGUUUUACAAACAGCAGGCCAUGGAGCUAAAAGCUGAGUUUUCCGAUUCUGAGAAUUGUUCAAAGGAACCACUUAGCUCCACCCAGCUACGGCCCAUGCAGCAGUCGGCUCCUUGCUCCCACUGCAGGCAAAUUCAUACCCAAGAACCUUCUUCCUCAGAUUUUAUGGGUGAGAGUUCUUUUAGAGAAGCCUCUUGAGAGACCCUUGGACAGCAAGGUGAUAACCCAGUCAAUCCUAAAGGAAAUCAAUCCUAAUAUUCAUUGGAAGGACUGAUGCUGAAGCUGAAGCUCCAAUACUUUGGCCACCUGACUCUUGGGAAAAGACCUUGAUGCUGGGAAAGAUUGAGGGCAGGAGGAGAAGGGGGUGACAGAGGAUGAGAUGGUUGGAUGGCAUCACCGAUUCAGUGGAUAUGAGUUUGAGCUAACUCCGGGACAUGGUGAAGGACAGGGAAGCCUGGUGUGCUGCAGUCCAUCGUGUGACAAAAAGUUGGACACAACUGAGCAACUGUUCAACAACCCUAGGGGCUAAGUGCCAAGCACUGAGCUCAGGACGAGCCCUUCUGUCAACAGAAGGAGAUGAUGGAGGUGACCGUCAUCCAUAGAGGCUGCCAUGAGCUUGGCCACUUCCCACAUGAUCACUUGGUAAUCUUCACCACAGUCUUAUGAAACAGGCAUCAGAUUCCUGCCCGAGUAAUCAGAUGUCAGUGUGUCCACUUGGGCAUGGCUACCCACUGCAGUAUUCUUGGCUAGAGAAUUCCAUGGACAGAGGAGACUGGUGGGCUACAGUCCAUAGGGUCACAAAGAGUCGGACACGACUGAAGUGACCUAGCAGUCGUGAUGCAUAGCUUGGGCAGGUCAGUAAGUCUCUGCAGGCCUUAGUUUCCCCAUCUUUACAAUGGGCUAUUUGAUGAUGAAGUGGGUCAGUCCACACAAACACGGGAGAGCAAUGUCUGCCAGAUAGUAGGUGCUCAGAAAGGGGUGGUCAUCCUUGAUUUUUGCACAUGAUGGUCACAGCAGAGGGAGUGCUCCCCUGAAAAGACCUCUCUGGGACUUUAUCCAGGCUGGGGACACACUGCCUUCUGAGUCAGGCCGUUCCAUUUUUGGACAGCUCUGACUAAGAAAAUUCUUCCUUGCUUCCAGCCAAGUCCACCUCCCCAUAACUCCCACGCAUGGGCCUUAGCUCUGCCAGAAGGCAAAUGUCAGAAAAAUAUUCUUGAAAGAGAGGACAUAGAAUGUAAAUAAGAAUGAUAGAAUCGGGUUGAGGAAUUACAGUCUCCCUGGCUUCAGCCAUUCCCACUGCCCAGCCCAGAUGUGGUGGGGGUGGGGGUCAAAGACCCUUUGGUUCAGUGGGAAAACAAGCCAAGGCUCAGCACUCUCCUCUACUCCCUUUAGAAACACAUUAAUCAACUUUUCCCUUCAUUCUUUGCAGGCCACAGCACACUGCUAACUGCCGUGAAACCAAGCAACAAGUCACUCCCCAGGAACAAAGGUGACGGCCACCAGGCCGCAGAGCCUUGACCUCAUCUCUUUUCCUACGUGCGGUCCACCCCGUAAUCAUUGUGCCUCCAGGGAGCAUGCCCGCCAAGCAGCGCACGCUGUCAGCCUCCUGUUUACAGAGCCUUUCUGGCGUCAGGUAUAUAGGAUCAUGACCCCUGUGUGUUCCUUCCCUGUCUUCCUUGGCAGGUGCUGUGACAUAAGAAGGAUGCAUGCAUCUUUUUUUUUUCAGGCAGUUGAGACAGCUUAUCUCUCCCCUGAUGCUUGUUAAAAAGGAUUUGAAAUUGAGUGUCAGUGUUGCAAGGUGAAAAGAUUCUCUGAGCUCUGUUGCACGGUGUACAUGCACUUAACACUACCAAAGUGUCCGCUUACAAAUAAAUCUCAAAGCAGCAUUUUUUAACCACAACAAAAAAAUCUUUAAGGAUGAAAUAGGUAGGUGAACAACACAGUGGCUUUGAAAUGACGUGAGAGGACGCAGAAGUUCAUUGAGUUGUACGCUUAUGGUUUGUGUACUUUCCUCUAACAUUGCUUGCACUCAGUCAUCUCUGACGCUGUGCGACCCCAUGGACUGUAGCCUGCCAGGCUUCUCUGUCCGUGGCAUUUUCCAGGCAAGAAUACUGGAGUGAGUUACCAUUGAUAGUAAACGUCACUAGAAAGUUUACAUACAUAUAAAAGUAAUCAUGGAGGAGGAAGACAUAAAGGGCGGGGGGUACAGUUGAAACAACAUUAUCCAUGAGUUGGGUGAGUUCUAGUCUAUUUCUGUGUGUUUGAAAUUUUUCACAAUAAAAGAAUAGAAACGCAGGAAACAUUUAAAAUGUGGGAAAAGUGAUUUGAACAUUUCGAGUAUAAAUCAGGAUGCAUGUGUAGACUCCUUUCAGCAGCUCUGGGGCAAGGCAAGCCGUGAACUGGAUAUGCAAACGGCCACAUUCUGUUCUACAGGAUGAGGAAGGCAGCACCCUUGGAUACUAUCAGGACACUAUGUUCCUCCAAGAGCUUAUCCAAGAAUCCGAGACAAAAAGAAGGGGCCCCAUGGUUGGUCCACAGGUCUCCUUCUCCCGGCCAUCUCUGGCUGAACAUCACUGUUACCCUCCAGGCCCUGCAGACCCCAAAUCUUCCGAGCUUUCUGAGGACUUGGCCCCAGGCACCCUCCAGCCACUCUCAAGGUCAAGUGUAGCCCAAACCUUCCCAACAGAGGCACUGUGUGCAGCCAGGAACCCCCUUUGCACUCCCAGUGCUCACUCUGAAGCCUGGUACUUUCUGGGACAUACAGAAGCUUUUGCCAAAUCACCCUCUGUCACCUUGGGUGAGCCAUGCCCCCUCAUCACAGGACAAUCCAGCUAAUCUUCCUCCAUGGACCCGAAUUUAAAAAGUUUUUUAGGCACUUCCUUGGUGGUCCAAUGGUUAAGACUCCACACUCCUAAUGCAAGGGGUACUGACCCAGGGACUAAGAUCCUGAAUGCUGCUCAGCCAAAAAAAAAAAAACACAAAAAAACAAAACUAUUUAGCUCCUCUCUCCAGUGGGUGCUGAAGAAGCUCAGUUCAGUUCAGCCGCUAAGUUGUGUCUGACUCUGCAACCCCAUGGACUGCAGCAUGCCAGGCUUCCCUGUCCUUCACCAUCUCCCGGAGUUUGCUCAAAUUCAUGGCCAUUGAGUCAGUGAUGCCAUCCAAUCAUCUCAUCCUCUGUUGCCACCCCCUCAUCCUCAGUCUUUCUCAGCAUCAGGGUCUUUUCCUAUAAGUCUGCUUUUCACAUCAGGUGGCCAAAGGAUUGGAGCUUCAGCUUCAGCAUCAGUCCUUCCAGUGAAUAUUCAGGGUUGAUUUCCUUUAGGAUUGACUGGUUUGAUCUUGCAGUCCAAGGGACUCUCCUAAAUCAAAAAGGGAUGCUAGAAGGAAGUGGUUUGCAUUUCCCUGCACCUCUGCCAGGGUGAGAUCAAAACAACUGCUAAAGGAAGAAGACGUGGGUCCUGGGCUUGUCUUCACCCUCAUCACAUCAGAUCAGCUAAAACUGUCAGUUAAAAAAAAAAAUCAAUAAAGCUGUCAGGGCUCAGAAGUCCACAAGAUGAUUCUGUUCCCGGGGUCUCAGUGACCUUCAAGACUACCUGGAAUGUAACUGCUAGACGGACGAUUCGGUGAUGAGCAUAUGAAGUCAGGUCUGGGCUGCGGCAGCCCCAUCCCCGCCCCCACUCCUCUGUCAUCAGGUGAGAGGUGAGGGCUGGGGACUGGCAGGCAGGGGUAGCUGGGAAAAUCUCGGUGUGAUUCAAACAAUUUGCUUUUCCGCAAUUUUACAUGUUAACUAUUAUUGACCACCUCCUCUCUCCAGGUCAGACUUUCAUCCCUUGACGUUGGAUGGGUAAACAAAACACCUGGAGUCCCCAGGCCCCGUCCUGACCUUCCCUCACCCCAUCUCUGGGACCAGCUUCUGGAGUUGACCCCUCCCCACAGCUCAUAAAAGAGAAAAUGAUGUCAUGCCUAAUAAAUGCCAAAGUAGCCUUUUCGAGAAGUGACACCGAACAUGGGCAGAGUGCCGAAGUCUUAUUUGCUCGGGCAAACAUUCAGACAUCUGUCACCAUUUAAGUUUUCAUCUGAGAUGCUGAUUCCUACACAGGUUUCAGUGAGGUUUUGAUCUAUCUGAAUUUCAAAGCACUGGGAUUUGAGCCCACACAAGAGGUACAUGCGAGAAUCUCUGUAUCACUGAGCGAGCAUGUACUAGAACAUGUGCAUCCUCCCAGAGACACAAAAACAUUAUCAUGGACCGCUUACUGUGGGUGGAUUUAAAAAAAAAUUUUUUUUUUGCUAUAAUGUAAACUUCCUGUUGCGAUUUGAACCGAUUUCCUCUCCUUCAGUUCCUGGGGGAGACGGUAAGCAGUUCAUCAUGACUGUCUGAACGAUAUGUGAGCGUUUCUAUAGGAACAUAGCAUGGCUGAUCUUUGUUCCACGGACCAUCUGCUUUGAGUUGUUUGUCCAGGUGCGAUGCAUUUUUCUCCUUUGUUCCCAAGUUCUUCUCUGUUCCCUUUUGAAUUGAAGACGUAUGCUGGCUAUUCAUGGAUUCAGAGGAAAGAAAACUAUCUUGGCCGCAGAAGGUUGAACUGAAGCUCAUCGGACCUCAGGCUCAGAACCCCUGGCUUAGUGAGCCCUUCACAGACUCAGCCAUCACCGAAGAGGAAGAACUCUCAGAAAUUCUCUGGUCCAGUCUUCUCCUGCGUGGGCUUCUAUGGAAGCCGAAAUCAUCCACAGUUAUGGUCUUUAAAG
ensembl:lncRNA